rnacentral:rRNA from 1 species
UACGUAGGGGGCAAGCGUUGUCCGGAUUUAUUGGGCGUAAAGAGCGUGUAGGCGGCCUGAAAGGUCAGCUGUGAAAACUCGAGGCUCAACCUCGAGACGUCGGUUGAAACCAUCUGGCUAGAGUCCGGAAGAGGAGAGUGGAAUUCCCGGUGUAGCGGUGAAAUGCGCAGAUAUCAGGAGGAACACCGAUGGCGAAGGCAGGUCUCUGGGCACUUACUGACGCUGAGGAGCGAAAGCGUGGGGAGCGAACAGG